AUUGAACGCUGGCGGCAUGCCUUACACAUGCAAGUCGAACGGCAGCACGGGUGCUUGCACCUGGUAGCGAGUGGCGAACGGGUGAGUAAUACAUCGGAACAUGUCCUGUAGUGGGGGAUAGCCCGGCGAAAGCCGGAUUAAUACCGCAUACGAUCUACGGAUGAAAGCGGGGGACCUUCGGGCCUCGCGCUAUAGGGUUGGCCGAUGGCUGAUUAGCUAGUUGGUGGGGUAAAGGCCUACCAAGGCGACGAUCAGUAGCUGGUCUGAGAGGACGACCAGCCACACUGGGACUGAGACACGGCCCAGACUCCUACGGGAGGCAGCAGUGGGGAAUUUUGGACAAUGGGCGAAAGCCUGAUCCAGCAAUGCCGCGUGUGUGAAGAAGGCCUUCGGGUUGUAAAGCACUUUUGUCCGGAAAGAAAUCCUUGGCUCUAAUACAGUCGGGGGAUGACGGUACCGGAAGAAUAAGCACCGGCUAACUACGUG
rnacentral:rRNA from 1 species